UAAAAUAAAAUCAAAGGAACUUGUUUUUUAAUCGACAAUACUCGCUAAAUUUUACUAUGUUUAUUAAAGCUUAUAUACCUCCGUUUAAAAUUUUUUAACACAAUUUCUUACAACCCUAUUGUAACAUUUCAGGUCAAGGUGUAGCCCAUAACACAGAUAAAAUAAGUUACCUAUAAACACUAUUUAUAGAAAUACAUAAAAAUUAAAUAAAACAGGAUUUAAAUACAAUAAUAUAAUAAUAACACAUUAUGAAAAUCAUUUGAAC
rnacentral:rRNA from 1 species